UACGUAGGGUGCAAGCGUUAAUCGGAAUUACUGGGCGUAAAGCGUGCGCAGGCGGUUCGUUGUGUCGGCGGUGAAAGCCCCGGGCUUAACCUGGGAAUGGCCGUCGAAACUGGCGAACUGGAGUGUGGCAGAGGGGGGGUGGAAUUCCGCGUGUAGCAGUGAAAUGCGUAGAGAUGUGGAGGAAUACCGAUGGCGAAGGCAGCCUCCUGGGCCAACACUGACGCUGAGGAGCGAAAGCCAGGGGAGCAAACGGG
rnacentral:rRNA from 1 species